rnacentral:lncRNA from 13 species
AAAUUGAGUUUGCCCGAUUUUGUGCUUGAGACCCAAGGCCCUCCUGGUGUAGACUUAGAAGGAAAUAUCCUGAUCCAUGGUUUGCAAAAAUCCAUGGGAAAAAAAUGCAGUACCCGGGGCCUGGAGCUCGGUCCCUCACUGCCUCCCUUGGCUGAGGUAGGGAAUUCCCUUUGCCCUGUCAGCUCCCAGGUAAACUGUCACCCCACCCUCCUUUUCCUUUCUCUGCCAACUGCCUAGUGAAUCACAAUGACAUGGACUGGGUACCUCAGUUGGAAAUGCCGGAGUCACUUCGCCAUUUGUGUUUGUCUCGCUGAGAGCUGCAAACGGGACCUGGUCGUACGCCACCAUCUUGGGCUGUCCGCUGAGAUCAACUUCUUGUGAGUUCCGGGCGCUUCACGAACUUACAGUACUGGAAAAUAUCCAGCUAGACAUGAGAGAAUGUAACUGGAGGAAGACAGCCGUGUGUAAAAGAACAUAUCCAUUAUUAGGAAAUUACAGAAAUUCUAGAGCACAAUCCAUUAGUACCAAAGAACUUUGGGUAAGUUGGUCCAAAUAAUCAGACCUCAUAUUUCCAUUCACAUAAUCUAAUGCAAUAUCAAAAGAGCUACAUAAGCAUUUUGUCUAAACUAGUGGUUUCUGAGCCUGACAAGUAGCAUCUAGAUACUUAGUUUUAAUAGCUUUUCAGCCUCUGUGCAGAAAUGAGUUUAGAGUAAGUGUUAAGCAAGACCAUUAACAGUACCAGCUGAAGGAGAGAAUAAAGAUAGACACUCAAUUAUAUGGCA